GCGCGCGAUGGCGCGGUUGCCCGCCAGCCUCUGAAGCCGGACCAGGUCCACGGCGACGGGGCCUUGCGACGGGGCCCGCCGUCCGGCCGUGC
rnacentral:tRNA from 1 species